GGGUUGUGAGGUUAAGCGACUAAGCGUACACGGUGGAUGCCCUGGCAGUCAGAGGCGAUGAAGGACGUGCUAAUCUGCGAUAAGCGUCGGUAAGGUGAUAUGAACCGUUAUAACCGGCGAUUUCCGAAUGGGGAAACCCAGUGUGUUUCGACACACUAUCAUUAACUGAAUCCAUAGGUUAAUGAGGCGAACCGGGGGAACUGAAACAUCUAAGUACCCCGAGGAAAAGAAAUCAACCGAGAUUCCCCCAGUAGCGGCGAGCGAACGGGGAGCAGCCCAGAGCCUGAAUCAGUGUGUGUGUUAGUGGAAGCGUCUGGAAAGGCGCGCGAUACAGGGUGACAGCCCCGUACACAAAAAUGCACAUGCUGUGAGCUCGAUGAGUAGGGCGGGACACGUGGUAUCCUGUCUGAAUAUGGGGGGACCAUCCUCCAAGGCUAAAUACUCCUGACUGACCGAUAGUGAACCAGUACCGUGAGGGAAAGGCGAAAAGAACCCCGGCGAGGGGAGUGAAAAAGAACCUGAAACCGUGUACGUACAAGCAGUGGGAGCACGCUUAGGCGUGUGACUGCGUACCUUUUGUAUAAUGGGUCAGCGACUUAUAUUCUGUAGCAAGGUUAACCGAAUAGGGGAGCCGAAGGGAAACCGAGUCUUAACUGGGCGUUAAGUUGCAGGGUAUAGACCCGAAACCCGGUGAUCUAGCCAUGGGCAGGUUGAAGGUUGGGUAACACUAACUGGAGGACCGAACCGACUAAUGUUGAAAAAUUAGCGGAUGACUUGUGGCUGGGGGUGAAAGGCCAAUCAAACCGGGAGAUAGCUGGUUCUCCCCGAAAGCUAUUUAGGUAGCGCCUCGUGAAUUCAUCUCCGGGGGUAGAGCACUGUUUCGGCAAGGGGGUCAUCCCGACUUACCAACCCGAUGCAAACUGCGAAUACCGGAGAAUGUUAUCACGGGAGACACACGGCGGGUGCUAACGUCCGUCGUGAAGAGGGAAACAACCCAGACCGCCAGCUAAGGUCCCAAAGUCAUGGUUAAGUGGGAAACGAUGUGGGAAGGCCCAGACAGCCAGGAUGUUGGCUUAGAAGCAGCCAUCAUUUAAAGAAAGCGUAAUAGCUCACUGGUCGAGUCGGCCUGCGCGGAAGAUGUAACGGGGCUAAACCAUGCACCGAAGCUGCGGCAGCGACGCUUAUGCGUUGUUGGGUAGGGGAGCGUUCUGUAAGCCUGUGAAGGUGUGCUGUGAGGCAUGCUGGAGGUAUCAGAAGUGCGAAUGCUGACAUAAGUAACGAUAAAGCGGGUGAAAAGCCCGCUCGCCGGAAGACCAAGGGUUCCUGUCCAACGUUAAUCGGGGCAGGGUGAGUCGACCCCUAAGGCGAGGCCGAAAGGCGUAGUCGAUGGGAAACAGGUUAAUAUUCCUGUACUUGGUGUUACUGCGAAGGGGGGACGGAGAAGGCUAUGUUGGCCGGGCGACGGUUGUCCCGGUUUAAGCGUGUAGGCUGGUUUUCCAGGCAAAUCCGGAAAAUCAAGGCUGAGGCGUGAUGACGAGGCACUACGGUGCUGAAGCAACAAAUGCCCUGCUUCCAGGAAAAGCCUCUAAGCAUCAGGUAACAUCAAAUCGUACCCCAAACCGACACAGGUGGUCAGGUAGAGAAUACCAAGGCGCUUGAGAGAACUCGGGUGAAGGAACUAGGCAAAAUGGUGCCGUAACUUCGGGAGAAGGCACGCUGAUAUGUAGGUGAAGUCCCUCGCGGAUGGAGCUGAAAUCAGUCGAAGAUACCAGCUGGCUGCAACUGUUUAUUAAAAACACAGCACUGUGCAAACACGAAAGUGGACGUAUACGGUGUGACGCCUGCCCGGUGCCGGAAGGUUAAUUGAUGGGGUUAGCGCAAGCGAAGCUCUUGAUCGAAGCCCCGGUAAACGGCGGCCGUAACUAUAACGGUCCUAAGGUAGCGAAAUUCCUUGUCGGGUAAGUUCCGACCUGCACGAAUGGCGUAAUGAUGGCCAGGCUGUCUCCACCCGAGACUCAGUGAAAUUGAACUCGCUGUGAAGAUGCAGUGUACCCGCGGCAAGACGGAAAGACCCCGUGAACCUUUACUAUAGCUUGACACUGAACAUUGAGCCUUGAUGUGUAGGAUAGGUGGGAGGCUUUGAAGUGUGGACGCCAGUCUGCAUGGAGCCGACCUUGAAAUACCACCCUUUAAUGUUUGAUGUUCUAACGUUGACCCGUAAUCCGGGUUGCGGACAGUGUCUGGUGGGUAGUUUGACUGGGGCGGUCUCCUCCUAAAGAGUAACGGAGGAGCACGAAGGUUGGCUAAUCCUGGUCGGACAUCAGGAGGUUAGUGCAAUGGCAUAAGCCAGCUUGACUGCGAGCGUGACGGCGCGAGCAGGUGCGAAAGCAGGUCAUAGUGAUCCGGUGGUUCUGAAUGGAAGGGCCAUCGCUCAACGGAUAAAAGGUACUCCGGGGAUAACAGGCUGAUACCGCCCAAGAGUUCAUAUCGACGGCGGUGUUUGGCACCUCGAUGUCGGCUCAUCACAUCCUGGGGCUGAAGUAGGUCCCAAGGGUAUGGCUGUUCGCCAUUUAAAGUGGUACGCGAGCUGGGUUUAGAACGUCGUGAGACAGUUCGGUCCCUAUCUGCCGUGGGCGCUGGAGAACUGAGGGGGGCUGCUCCUAGUACGAGAGGACCGGAGUGGACGCAUCACUGGUGUUCGGGUUGUCAUGCCAAUGGCACUGCCCGGUAGCUAAAUGCGGAAGAGAUAAGUGCUGAAAGCAUCUAAGCACGAAACUUGCCCCGAGAUGAGUUCUCCCUGACUCCUUGAGAGUCCUGAAGGAACGUUGAAGACGACGACGUUGAUAGGCCGGGUGUGUAAGCGCAGCGAUGCGUUGAGCUAACCGGUACUAAUGAACCGUGAGGCUUAACCUUACAACGCCGAAG
rnacentral:rRNA from 1 species